GUCUACAACUCAAGAGACCCAGCUGAAAUCCAAUGGGGAGCCUCUGGAGCCGACUAUGUCGUUGAGUCCACCGGAGUCUUCACCACCAUCGAGAAGGCCAACGCUCACUUGAAGGGAGGAGCCAAGAAGGUAACUUGUAAUCAACUUUUGUGCAUAAAUAUAUUUAAAUUUUUAGGUCAUCAUCUCUGCUCCAUCUGCUGAUGCUCCAAUGUUCGUCGUCGGAGUCAACCACGAGAAGUACGAUCAUGCCAACGACCACAUCAUCUCCAAUGCUUCCUGCACCACUAACUGCCUUGCUCCACUUGCCAAGGUCAUCAAUGACAACUUCGGAAUUAUUGAGGGACUUAUGACCACUGUCCACGCCGUCACCGCCACCCAAAAGACUGUUGACGGACCAUCAGGAAAGCUCUGGAGAGACGGACGUGGAGCUGGACAGAACAUCAUCCCAGCCUCUACUGGAGCCGCUAAGGCUGUUGGAAAGGUUAUCCCAGAGCUCAAUGGAAAGCUCACCGGAAUGGCUUUCCGUGUCCCAACCCCAGAUGUGUCUGUUGUUGAUCUCACUGCUCGUCUUGAGAAGCCAGCUUCCCUCGAUGACAUCAAGAAAGUUAUCAAGGCUGCCGCUGACGGACCAAUGAAGGGAAUUCUCGCUUACACUGAGGAUCAAGUUGUCUCCACCGACUUUGUCUCCGAUACCAACUCUUCCAUCUUCGAUGCCGGAGCAUCCAUCUCACUCAACCCACACUUCGUCAAGCUCGUCUCGUGGUACGAUAACGAGUUCGGAUACUCCAACAGAGUUGUUGAUCUCAUCUCGUACAUCGCCACCAAGGCCUAAGCUGUCUCAUCCUACUUUCACCUAGUUAACUGCUUGUCUUAAAAUCUAUGCUUCUCUUUAGUAUCUAAAAUUUUCCUAGAAGCUUACAAGUAUAUAAAUGGUCUCUUCUCAAUAAAGGUUGUAUAUUUAUUCAUCUUAUUGAAUCUGCCAUUUCCUCGUUUUUGCGAGUUUAUAUACCUUCCAAUUUUCUUUCUAUUGUAUUUUCAACUUCUAAUUUUAAUUCAGGGAAACUGCUUCAACGCAUCAUGACCAAGCCAAGUGUCGGAAUCAACGGAUUCGGAAGAAUCGGACGUCUUGUCCUCCGCGCCGCUGUCGAGAAGGACAGUGUCAAUGUUGUUGCCGUCAACGAUCCAUUCAUCUCCAUCGACUACAUGGUCUACUUGUUCCAGUACGAUUCCACUCACGGACGCUUCAAGGGAACCGUUGCCCACGAGGGAGACUACCUUCUUGUCGCCAAGGAAGGAAAGUCCCAGCACAAGAUCAAGG
rnacentral:sRNA from 1 species